rnacentral:rRNA from 1 species
GACGAACGCUGGCGGCGUGCUUAACACAUGCAAGUCGAACGGAAAGGCCCUGCUUUUGUGGGGUGCUCGAGUGGCGAACGGGUGAGUAACACGUGAGUAACCUGCCCUUGACUUUGGGAUAACUUCAUGAUACUGGGUCUAAUACCGGAUAGGAGCUCCUGCUGCAUGGUGGGGGUUGGAACGUUUCGGUGGUUGGUGAUGGACUCGCGGCUUAUCAGCUUGUUGGUGGGGUAGUGGCUUACCAAGGCUUUGACGGGUAGCCGGCCUGAGAGGGUGACCGGCCACAUUGGGACUGAGAUACGGCCCAGACUCCUACGGGAGGCAGCAGUGGGGAAUAUUGCACAAUGGGCGGAAGCCUGAUGCAGCAACGCCGCGUGCGGGAUGACGGCCUUCGGGUUGUAAACCGCUUUCGCCUGUGACGAAGCGUGAGUGACGGUAAUGGGUAAAGAAGCACCGGCUAACUACGUG